UUUGAAUAUUUUAUUUUGAGCAAUCAAACGAUGCAGGAGAAGCGAGAAGAAACUGAGUUGCGUUUCUUUGCGUUUCUUUUCUUUUUCUCUUUUUGCUCGACUCCUCCAGACGAUAUGCUGUCACUCUCACGGUCAUGAAACCCCAAUUCCCCCUCACAGGCUUCUAACGUCUCCGAGUACCAUUCCCUUCCAUCUAGAACCCCACGCUAGGAUAUCCUCUUCUUUUGUGUGAGGGGGUAAGCAGCGGUUCUUGAACAUCUUGCGAGUAAUUUCCCAUACGCUUAUUUCAGGAGUGUGUGUGAAUAAUUACUUCAUUCGGCGCAAUUUUUAUUUUUAUCUUUGUUUUAUUUUUUUUUUUCCAAUUUUGGUGGCAUCCCGUGUUUUCAUCUCAUCUUCAUGAUUCUCCUUCUCUCCUCUGGGCGGGUAUAUACUAUUUACUAGUAUAUAUAGACAUGUGCUGUACACACAUGUCAUGCGGCCGUAUGUCCCCGUCACCCAUUGACCGCAAAACAAAUGGUUAAAAAAAGACAAAAAGACAAAAAUACAAAAAUAAAAGGGAAAAAAAAUCAUAAUUGAAAAGGCCAGAAAAGAUACUAUGGCAAUAUUGUAAGUCUUAAGUAAGGGCUGGCUGAUUGCGCAACAUGUGGAAGACAUCGUGCUCACGUUUCAGGGAAUGAUCGGGAGGAUAAUGUGUGUAUCCUAGUACUGUACUGUACUGUACUGUACAUACAGCCACAGCACUGCUACAUGUCCGAGCUUGGCGUCCGUCGAUGACCAACAUCUUACAUAACAGCAUUCCCACGUGACCGUGCCGCUCCAACCUUGGAACCUUGGAACUUCCAGUUCUGGCUUUUUUCGCUUUUCCCCGUUGCAAUCAAUUCAAACACGACAAACAUCGCAAACCGACAUCCAGCAAGCAAUAUCUAGAUCCAUCUAUACAAGUAUCAAUCUAUCAGACUUCUUCAGUGGAGGCACUGUCUCCUUUUUCCUUUUUCCUUCUUCUUUCUUUUUCAAAAUCUUUGCUUUUGAACUUCUGGACGCACAUUGCGUCGAGAGCGUGGGGAGCUUUUGUUGAAAUUUGGAAGCUCAAUUUGAAUCAACCGGCCGCGUGGAGGAGGGGGUUAGACAAAGAGGUAGGAACGGCGCGUUGUAUAUAUUUAAUAUACUUCUAGCGCUUCUCGCGACUUGCGAUGCGCCUUGGGGAUCCUUGAGAGCUUGUUCGUGAGGUUUGCGGAGCGGAUUUUUGCUUCAGAACGUCGCCAAUUGGGAGGUUGCGCAGCAGUGUUUGGGUAUCAGCUGCUUCAUCGCACUCUUAUCUAUAUCUACCGCACACCUCUUCGCUAGUUACUACUAGCUAGUACCUUGCCGGGCCCCACGCUUCUACUUCAAUCGCGCUUACAAGAACGACAAAAGCUUAGUUCAUGUCCAACAAUCCAGAAGAUAUGACCUUGACCUCCCCCAAGCCCUCAACCCCUGACUUCCCAACACACAACUCCCCGCACCACCACCACCACCACCACCGCCACCACCUCUCAAACAGUGCACAGCAGCAACAGCAACAGCAGCAGCAUAACCUGGCUGUCGCCGCUAGCGCUGCCGCCGCCAGCUACGCUGCAGAUAACCACCUAGCAGGUCUUGUGGAAGCCGCCACGGCCGCGGCGGGACAGGAUGUCAACUGGGCGCAGAACGACGAGGGAGAUGCCAGCGUGAUGGGCCAUGGGCGCGCGCUGCACGGCCAUCUCGAGGGAUAUCCUUCGCCCAAUCCUGUGUCUGGCGCCUCGGGUGAGGCGGGUGGUGGUGGGGACGGCCUGAAUUUGGGUGAUGGGUUUGUGGGAGAUCCGACGACGGGGGGUGGGCAGGGGCAAUAUGGUGGGAUGCCUUCGGGCGCGGGGUCGGGGUCGGUAGAUGGGAGUAGUGGUGUGCCGACAGUCACUGCUACUACGGCGGCGGCGGCGGCGGCGAGGAGACAGCUACGCCAUGUGAAUGUAGCUAGGGGCCCGACGAACCUGCCGAGGAAGAGGAAGCGGGCAGCGACUAUUGCCAAUGUAGACCCGGCGAUGACGGAUGACGUCCCGCCGGAAGGCCAGUAUGACGAUGGCACUGGCAACGUGGACGAGGUUCUAGCCGCGGGUGGAAACCAGAACGGAAGCGCACACGCCCUGAGUAUCCGCGAGCUACCACCACAGCAAGCGUUAUCGGACGCACGCGCGGCAGGGGUCCACUCCGCCGCCGCGCUCUUCCGCCAACCCUCGGCCACCAGCAAGAAAUACACGCGCCCGCCGAUGUCGAAGAUGUUCUCGUCACUGGGCCUGUCGCCUGAGAACUUCUUGUACUUGCAGGCUGCGGCCAAGGCGUAUAUGCUUGACGAGGCGCAUCCGGAGAGACGCGAUUGCGUGGGCCAGAGGGGGAAGGGGGAUACAGAAAUGGUGAAGUUGCGGUUGUGGAAUUGUGUGAGGGAUU
rnacentral:sRNA from 1 species